UACGUAGGGGGGCUAGCGUUGUCCGGAAUCAUUGGGCGUAAAGCGCGUGUAGGCGGUCCGGUAAGUCCGCUGUGAAAGUCGGGGGGUCAACCCUCGGAUGCCGGUGGAUACUGUCGGGCUUGAGUACGGAAGAGGAGUGUGGAAUUCCUGGUGUAGCGGUGAAAUGCGCAGAUAUCAGGAGGAACACCAAUGGGCGAAGGCAGCACUCUGGGACGUGACUGACGCUGAGACGCGAAAAGCGUGGGGAGCAAACAGG
rnacentral:rRNA from 1 species